GUGCUUGCUUCAGCAGUAUAUACACUAAAACUGGAAUGACACAGAGAAGAUUAGCAUGGCCUUUGCACAAGGAUGGCAAGCAAAUUUGUGAAGUGUUCCACAUUUUU
ensembl:snRNA U6 U6 spliceosomal RNA